GUGUUGAGUCUAAUAGAGUAUUAGGGUGUGUGUGUGUGUGUGUGUGUGUGUGAGUGUGUGUGUGUUCAGGUGCUUUUAGUCUCCAGGUGUUCAGGUGCGUUCAAGGUUGAGUUGAGCUCCUUCCCUCUCAGAUUUUUUAUACAGAGUUUAAGGUACAUUCUAUUAAUAAUAAUCUUAAUUAACCAUGAUUACACUCACAUGAGAGGUUUAUCACUAAUAAUCUUAAUUAACCAUGAUUACAUUCACAUGAGAUGUUUAUCACUAAUAAUCUUAAUUAACCAUGAUUACACUCACCUGAGAUGUUUAUCACUAAUAAUCUUAAUUAACCAUGAUUAC
ensembl:lncRNA